rnacentral:rRNA from 1 species
GGGUAUGAUCGUACUUGUACUAAUGCAUCGGAUCCCAUCAGAUGAAGUCCACAAUUAAGCUAGCUUGGGUGAAAAUAGUACUAGGAUGGGUGCCCUCCUAGGAAGUGCAGGUGUUGUACCCC